AUUGAACGCUGGCGGCAGGCCUAACACAUGCAAGUCGAGCGAGCGGCGGACGGGUGAGUAAUGUCUGGGAAACUGCCUGAUGGAGGGGGAUAACUACUGGAAACGGUAGCUAAUACCGCAUACCAUCAGAUGUGCCCAGAUGGGAUGAGCUAGUAGGUGGGGUAACGGCUCACCUAGGCGACGAUCCCUAGCUGGUUGGAGAGGAUGACCAACCACACUGGAACUGCAACACGGUCCUGACUCCUACGGGAGGCAGCAGUGGGGAAUAUUGCACAAUGGGCGCAAGCCUGUUGCAGCCAUGCCGCGUGUGUGAAGAAGGCCUUCGGGUGGUAAAGCACUUUCAGCGGGGAGGCGUUACCCGCAGAAGAAGCACCGGCUAACUCCGUGCCAGCAGCCGCGGUAAUAC
rnacentral:rRNA from 1 species